AACGGUUUGUCUUUCUUCCAGGGCCACUACUGUCAGAUACGACACCCCACUCAUGUCAUAGGACUUCUUCUAAACUUUUUAGGAGAAAUGGACAAUGGGUGAACUAUCUCAUCCUGCAGUAAAGUCUGAUCCACAUCAGAUGGAUAAUUUCCUGGAAGUACCUAUUUCUCUACUGAUUGCAAGAUCAGGACUUCCUGGUAAAGCUGAUGUCUGUGACAAGCCUUCUUGACUCUGUGAUUCCCAGAAAAUGCAGAGAAUAGACACCCCAGUGACUAUGACUCACACUUGGAAGCUACUGCAGGUCCCAGCUCAGAAGCUCUCCUCUGUUGGGUUGACUCACCAGCAGUGUAAAACAACCUAUGAUCUCUGAACAUGGCUCAUUACAGUCAAACUGAAAAGAAGAAAGAAGAGAAAAUGAAGCUCACUUCUGUUUAUAACCAUGUUUUCACUGCAAUAGUUAGAAGUAUCAUUUCUCUGCCAUACUUUGUUGGUUUGUCUUUUUCAAAGUCAUCCUAUACUCUGAGCUGGAUAGAGAUUCUAAUUUCUAAAGAGAAUAAACCUAUUUUUAUAGUUGUUGUUAGGGUGAAGACUUAAUAAAGCAGCUCAUUAAAUAAGAUGA